GGAUGUGAGGGCGAUCUGACUGCGACACCUGUCACCCCACUGACCGUCAGAGUGGAUUCAGCUGAUGUGGCUGGCUAGGCAGGCGUCCCCUUCCUCCCCCACUGCCCCAUGUGCGUCCCUCCUGAGGUUACACACUCGAUCCAAGAGGACGACCUUCCCCAGUAGAGGAGCACCGUUUUCCAGUCAAGGGUAUAUGAGUAGCUGCGCACCCCUGACAGAGCCUCCAAACAAGCUCUCAAGGUCAAGCAUAAUGUCCAGCUUUAUUAAAGCACAGGGUGGCCUUCUUGAUCCUUGAGUGCAGGCUUUUGACUGAA
rnacentral:snRNA from 1 species